rnacentral:tRNA from 1 species
GGGGAUUUAGCUCAGUGGUAGAGCGCUUGCCUACCAAUCACAAGGCCCUGGGUUCGGUCCCCAGCUCCG